rnacentral:lncRNA from 1 species
GAGCUCUGGGUCCUGGACUUUUCCAAUGGUCUAGGCUCUCUGUGCUCCAGAUGCCCUAUUUGGAAACUAUGUACUUAAAACUAUGGUCAAGAUUAAGUGCAGUGCGUGGGAAAAGCUAAUUGCAACACACAUUUGCCCGAGUCAAGGUGCCUUUCUAAGUAGUGAGUCUUGGUGGUGGGGAUGCGGGGUGAAUAACAGAGCUCAGGAGGACAGUGGGGAUGUCUGUUUCGGGCUCUCUAACUUGUGAUGUGAAUGUCCGUGCUUCUUCGGGAUGUGGUUGAACUUGCCCUUUCUUUCUUCCACCUGCUCCAGGCUGGGGGAAGUUUGCUCGGCUGACCAGAGCACUGACAAGCAGCAGGGGUGUCCUGCAGCAGCUGGCUCCCAGUGUGCAAAAGGGCGAGAACGUCCACAAGCACUCCCGCUUGGCAGAGGUCCUGCAGCUGGGCUCAGACAUCCUUCCCCAGUACAAGCAAGAGGCACCAAAGACUCCCCCUCACAUCAUCUUACAUUACUGCGUUUUUAAGACCACGUGGGAUUGGAUCAUCUUGAUCUUAACCUUCUACACAGCCAUCUUGGUCCCUUACAAUGUCUCCU